UACGGAGGGUGCGAGCGUUGUCCGGAAUCACUGGGCGUAAAGGGCGCGUAGGCGGCUUCUUAAGGGGGCGGUGAAAGCCCGGGGCUCAACCCCGGGUCGGCCGUGCCGACUGGGGGGCUCGAGCACUGUAGAGGCGGGUGGAAUUCCGGGUGUAGCGGUGGAAUGCGUAGAGAUCCGGAAGAACACCGGUGGCGAAGGCGGCCCGCUGGGCAGUGGCUGACGCUGAGGCGCGACAGCGUGGGGAGCAAACAGG
rnacentral:rRNA from 1 species